ACAAACAAAAAAAAAGAAAGAAAGAAAGAACACUAGAGAAAGGGUCGGCAAAACAGUGAGUGUUUUGUUGUUUUUGAUUCUAUUGAUCUCUCACUGUCAGGUUGCACUGCCGAUCUGUUCACAAUCAUAACUAACUAAUACCUUAGCUUUGGCCAAUCUCAUGUUGCAAUUUUGCUUCAAACACAACAUUCAGGGAUUCUUAUGAAAACAGCAGCAUUUCUGAAAGAUCCUGGAACGGCCACAAUCUCAAGAGGUAGUACGAUUCUACCCGUCGUCAUAUUUCGUCCGCCAAGCCAUUGCGCGGAGAUGUUGGCUCCAUGCCCAUUUCAACACAGGCUCACCCGCGCUCGCUCGCGCGUCGUCGCUUGUCUUCCAUGCCACCAGCCAGCGCUGCGCGCUGCCUGUCGCGCAUGCGCUGUUCUUGUUGGCUUCGCUUUGGCUGCUGUAACGGUCGUUUCUCGUCGCCGCGUGUAGUUCGCGUAAUUGCGAGCGUUCCAGCAAGUCUAAAGCGUUUUAGAGGCUUUGUAUUGUUGUUCUCACCUGGUGCUGUCGUUCUUGCAACCCGUCUGAUAUUGCAACUGUCUGUAAGUGGAAGCGUUUCUUCUAACCGCGAGCAAACCAGUCGGUCUCGUUUGACAUGUCAAAGAGUGAAGACGCUACCUUGCAUGUGAAGCCAAAUCGUUCUUCGCCUUCAGGAUUAUUGCCGUUUCAGGGAUCUGCGCAACGACAGGGAGAUAGAACGCCAAGUGAAGUCGACUGUGUACUUUGUGCAGACGGUUCAGCGUGUAUGACGCAGCGGCCUUCAGCAAGAGAAACUCAAGCACCGUGUUCAAAUGCAGUGGGGACUCUUGCUGGCCAUGACAACGCUUAGAAGUGCUUUUUCGGAAGAAGGACAAGUUGGACCGGAAAUGAGGACCUAGGUGUGCUCUUUUGCGCUGUUGUUCACCGUUCGAUCAUUACCAGUUUUUGUGCCCCCGUGAGUUCAACGCUUAGGUAUGUUGAUGAUAAAUGGAUAUGCGUUAAAAGGUACGUACUCCGGAGUGGUGAAUUGUUCUGGUGAAGUGAUUCGUUGCUGCUAUCUCCUGUUUCGUGAGGGUUCUUGUCGGUACUCAUAUACCGCAGGCAUGAGGGGCUUUCUUUGCAGAACAUUUCAGUAAACCAAGACUGCAGCAUUUUCAAGAUUGCCAUAACCAGCAUCAAUGCAGCUCUCAUGUCAACAUCAGCAUCAAGACAGCUCUGAUGUGAGCAUCAGCCAGCGCAGCUCUGAUGUUAACAUCAUCAGAGCAGCUGUGAUGUUAACAUCAGACCUGAUGUCGCUUUUUUUUUCAAUAGGGAUGCUUCUCCUUGACCAUGUUUUUUUUUUGCUUAUUGACGUUUUUGUGAAGGAACGCUGAAUAUGCGCACACCAUUGACUGUCAGCUCUAGUCCCGGUCAGCUGUCAUUUUUUACAGUUUUCGUUGUAGUAAUUGCUAGUCAUUUGCACCAAAGGCGCUGGAUGUGAACUAUUUUCUCUUUCCUGGACUUGCAUUUCUCCCAGUCGUUGGCUUUGUCAUUUUUUCAUAAUUUAAAUUUUCUCUUGGUAACUCUUGAGUUUCGUAAUCCCUACGCUGUGCAUUUUACCAUUUUUGAUAAAGCUCAUUCCACGUACCGUGCACAUACUAUUUUGUGCUGAAGUGCAGCAAUUGUUUCGUUACGUCUAAUGUUACAUGCCAUUCAUUUUUGUGUCUGGGCAGUACUGAAGCGUGAGCAGAUAGGCAGACUGCCUAUUACUGCAUAACUUCGUUUUCUUUGAGGCACCACCACUUGGACAGGCAGACCGCCUCUUGCUGUAUACUUUUUCUUUCUUUUGAGACACUGUUGACGUGCGAGUGGUUACGCAGGCAGGCUGCAUAUUACUGUAUACCAUUUCCCACCAUGCAGCAGUUUUACCGUUACGUCUAAUAUUAAUGCUACAAGCCGUUCAUUUCUUCCAGGGCCAUUGCCGAAGUGCAAGUGGUUAGGCAGACUGCCUACUACUGCAUACCUUUUUUGUUUCCUUUCAGAGACCACCUCUUACUGUGUACGUUCCCCCCCCCCUUUUGAGACACCAUUGAAGGGCCAGUGGUUACGCAGGCAGGCUGGAUAUUACGACACAAUUGGCAUGCAUUGGAUGAUGCAGGCAGACUGCUUAGUGUACACCACUCGUCGUUUAGUCUAUUGAGGUGCUCCAAGUGUUGUGUCAGUCUAUUUCCUCUCCGAAAAUAAAAUGUUGGGCUCUACA